ensembl:lncRNA
CAUGUGAAGCAUGUGAGGCUCCUGCUGCAGCGCCUGUUGGAGAAUCGCUUGUUCGUUAAGGUGGAAAAAUAAUGGAAUUAUGAUGUUGGGGACCGGGAGUUGCUCGCCAUCAAGCUGGCCCUGGAGGAGUGGCAGCAUUGGCUGGAGGCGGGCGAGAACCCUGUGGUGGUGUGGACAGAUCACAAGAACUUGGCGUAUCUCCAAGCAGCGAAGCAUCUCAAUGCUCGGCAAGCCAGGUCUGUUUUUUACCUGUUUCAAUCUCAUUAUUACAUACAUGCCUGGGUCCCACAACACCAAAGCAGACGCACUGUCACGCCAGUUCGCACCGGAUCCCGAUGAUGAGGGAAUCAGCCCAUCCUCCCGCCUUCGUGUUUUGUUGGAGCUUUAAUGUGGGAGAUAAAGAAGCUCAUAAGGGAGCAGGAACCCGACCCAGGAACAGGCCCAGAGGGCAAGCUGUUUGUCCCUGCAUCAGAGUAGGGUGCUCCAGUGGGCCUACACCGCACAUUUCGGCUGUCAUCUGAAUAAGGCACCGAAUUCGCCUCCUGCUGGCCUCCUGCAACCACUCCCCAUGCCCAAGUGACCCUGGUCGCACAUUGCACUGGACUUUGUCACCGGACUGCCCCCGUCAUCAGGUGAGACCAGUCCGGACCAGCCCGUUGUGCCUGCCCCCUGGGUCCCCACCAUCUCUGACAAGUUUGUCUCUUUCCUUUCUCUCUGUCUCGGGGGCGAUUGUUUACGGAGGUCGCCUGGCAACGAGUGACACUUGACCCGGAAGUACCGCUGCUCUAGAAGCCGCCACACCUGGGACUGAUUCGGCAUCCACCUGCCUUUAAUUAUCCACCAUCUUAGGCAGAGCUAUUUAAUGGGUGGCCUACGACAGUCACUGCUGGAGUAUUGCACUAAGCCGCUAGUGUUCUCGGACCAUUUGUGUGGAGAAGUAUUGCCUGCCAGAAAAGAGACUUACCGUUAGCUGUCCUUUGUGUGUGAUUAGGAACAAAGAAGGAGAAGGAUUAUGAGCAUGGGGAAAGAGGGAGGGAGGAACGGAGAUUCACUGUCACGCACCACUUGAGCACGGGGAAGAGGACACCAAUGCUCACUUGCACAUUGAACAAUUGUAACCUUUAUCACUGUAAAUAAACGCACUGUUGUUCAUUCAGAGCUCCGUGCCAGGGUCCACUCAUUCACCCCCGGUGACAGCAAUGACAUACACACCCUGAGGUUCUCAGAACAAGCAGAUUGAGCUUGAAAAGAAAGACUUAGCAGCAGCUUUCUCUCUCACAAGACUGAUCAGCAAUUUGAGUUCAUGAUGCAGCUUUAUGGAGCUCUGAUCCUGUGUGUGACUCUGUCUGCAGCAUGUGGAUUAAAAUGCUACACAUGUGCAGCUGCAGAUCCUAAAUCCUGCACAGACACCACAUCUUGUGCAUUCAUCUUCAACCGUUGUUUCUCUGGCAGAGUAGAUGGUCUUAAUGUAGUUACAAAGGGCUGCCUAAACAGUGUAGCAUGUGUUUGGCCUAUGUCUUGCUGUGAAGGGGACCUGUGUAACAGCACUAUUCCAACUGGUCCCAGUGCCAUCCUGCUGCUGGUAUCUUCAGCCAUCCUCAAAUUUCUUUUCUGAGCCUGUAGAAUGAUGUUGUUUCCAUACUGCAUUUUUUCGUAUUCUAUUUUGUACAACUAGAGAAGAAAAUAAAGAAAAUAAAAAACAUAAAAAUGCCAUGAUAUGAAAUAAAAAUGUCAUUGCUAUUUUGAUCUGUCAUUUAAAGUAAUCCUGUCACAGCCCUGGAUCGGUGACCCAGUGUUUUAUGUAUUAUUGUUAUUUUAUGAUUUCUUCGUGGUUUGAUUUCCAGUAUUUAGUAUGGGUUUAGUUCUGUGCCAGUCUGUUUCCUGUUUUACUUUGAAAGUUCGUGUCUCAUGUUAGUGUGUCUGGUUUUGCUCCCUUGUCUCAUUAGGUCUGAUUUGUCUCAGCUGUGUUUACUUCCUGUCUCCCUGAUUGCUCCCUCUGUGUAUUUAUGUCCUGUGUUUCUCUUUGUCAGUGUUGCGUUGUACCCUCAUACUAGCCUGUGUUCUGGUUUUCAUGCACAGUUUUUGGCUAUCCCAGUUUAGGUUUUGUUUUGUCUUUUGCCAACAAUAAAGUUGUUUAAGUUCACUUCCUGUUUUGGAGUCUGCGUUUGGGUCCUUUUCCUGCCUGCCUGCCCACAGAGCCAUGACAAAUCCACAGUCUGCCGUAUUCACAUACUUUAUUGCUUGAAUGUAAACUUUUCCUAAAUCAAUUAUAAAGAGCACUUUGAAGAUUUUUUUGAGAAAUAUUUUGGUUUAUAAACUUUUCAGACCACUUUAUAUAUACUUUUAUAUAAUUUUUCACUUAAAACUACCCUGUGGUUGAACUACAUAAAGUAAAGCAUGAUGGGAGUUUGUUUUACAAUGACAACUCUCUAAGCCACACUUACUUCCUGUGUCUGUACACAAAUAGAGCACAACAGAAAAGUUCUAACAAUUUGUUGUAAAAAAAAAAAAAAAAACAACAAAAUAAAAUAAAAAUGCUCUGUUCAAAUGGUCUCUCAUGAGACAUAAAGAAAACACAGAAUUCAAAUUAAAAACAACUAGCACUUACACCAAGGGUACCUUAAAUUUAUAGUCACACUGAACAUGGCAAGUUUCCCUGUGUGAACACAUGUAGAGAGC